UACAGAGGGGGCAAGCGUUGUUCGGAAUUACUGGGCGUAAAGGGCGCGUAGGCGGCCUGUUAAGUCGGACGUGAAAUCCCUGGGCUCAACCCGGGAACUGCGUCCGAUACUGGCAGGCUUGAAUCCGGGAGAGGGAUGUGGAAUUCCAGGUGUAGCGGUGAAAUGCGUAGAUAUCUGGAGGAACACCGGUGGCGAAGGCGGCAUCCUGGACCGGUAUUGACGCUGAGGCGCGAAAGCCAGGGGAGCAAACGGG
rnacentral:rRNA from 1 species